GGGGGUAUGGCGGAAUGGUAGACGCUACGGACUUAAAAAAAUCCGUUGGCUUUAUUGACCGUGAGGGUUCAAGUCCCUCUACCCCCA
rnacentral:tRNA from 1 species